CGCCACCUACGGGACGCAGCAGUGGGGAAUAUUGGGCAAUGGGCGCAAGCCUGACCCAGCAACGCCGCGUGAAGGAAGAAGGCUUUCGGGUUGUAAACUUCUUUUCUCAGGGACGAAGAAAGUGACGGUACCUGAGGAAUAAGCCACGGCUAACUACGUGCCAGCAGCCGCGGUAAUACGUAGGUGGCAAGCGUUAUCCGGAUUUAUUGGGUGUAAAGGGCGUGUAGGCGGGAACG
rnacentral:rRNA from 1 species